GUGGGGAAUAUUGGACAAUGGGCGCAAGCCUGAUCCAGCCAUGCCGCGUGAGUGAUGAAGGCCUUAGGGUUGUAAAGCUCUUUCGUCAGGGAAGAUAAUGACGGUACCUGAAGAAGAAGCCCCGGCUAACUUCGUGCCAGCAGCCGCGGUAAUACGAAGGGGGCUAGCGUUGCUCGGAAUCACUGGGCGUAAAGCGCACGUAGGCGGCUUUCUAAGUCAGGGGUGAAAUCCUGGAGCUCAACUCCAGAACUGCCUUUGAUACUGGAGAGCUUGAGUUCGGGAGAGGUGAGUGGAACUGCGAGUGUAGAGGUGAAAUUCGUAGAUAUUCGCAAGAACACCAGUGGCGAAGGCGGCUCACUGGCCCGAUACUGACGCUGAGGUGCGAAAGCGUGGGGAGCAAACAGGAUUAGAUACCCGUGUAGUCC
rnacentral:rRNA from 1 species